rnacentral:rRNA from 1 species
UACGAAGGGGGCUAGCGUUGUCCGGAUUUAUUGGGCGUAAAGAGCGUGUAGGCGGCCAAGCAGGUCCGCUGUGAAAACUCGAGGCUCAACCUCGAGACGUCGGUGGAAACCGUUUGGCUAGAGUCCGGAAGAGGAGAGUGGAAUUCCCGGUGUAGCGGUGAAAUGCGCAGAUAUCGGGAAGAACACCCGUGGCGAAGGCGGCUCUCUGGGACGGUACUGACGCUGAGACGCGAAAGCGUGGGGAGCGAACAGG